rnacentral:lncRNA from 1 species
ACAUAUCCUCCCUGCCUGGACCUUCAAAACAAUAUAAAACUGAAUGAAGGCAAUAAAAGAAGUCACAGGAGGAUUUUUGCAGAGCUUCCAUCCAGUUCAGAAACAAAGCAAUUCAAUACAUGUCUUCAAGAUUUCUAAAGGCAAUGACUUAUAGAACCUUGGAGAAUUGCCAAGAUUGCUGACUAGAUGUAGCCAGGAGAAAUAUCUCCCACUGAGAGACCGGGACACUGGAAAGACUAUAACACACCUCUGAGCAGAUCUUCUGAUGGAAAGCAUUAAGAGUGGAUGCAGAGAGGAUGCAGAUGCUGGGCUGAAGAGAGAGGAAGCUGGGAACCCAGUGUAGUGCAGCUGAGCCUCAGGACUUGGACCUGGCCCUCAGAGACUCCUGGGGGAAGGGUGAGUUUACAGGUGAGGAGUGGCCCGCUUUCACCAUGGACCCAUUCUGUUAGGUCCCUCAACCUCUAUGGGCAUCUGAGAUGGUAGGAAAAGCUGCUUAGAGAGGUCAUGUGGGCAAGACUCCAGCCUGUGCAGAGCCCAGAGUGGUGUCAG